rnacentral:misc_RNA from 1 species
UGUGUCGGCGCACGUGCC